rnacentral:rRNA from 1 species
AUUGAACGCUGGCGGCAGGCCUAACACAUGCAAGUCGAACGAGCGGCGGACGGGUGAGUAAUGUCUGGGAAACUGCCUGAUGGAAGGGGAUAACUACUGGAAACGGUAGCUAAUACCGCAUACCAUCAGAUGUGCCCAGAUGGGAUUAGCUUGUUGGUGAGGUAACGGCUCACCUAGGCGACGAUCCCUAGCUGGUCUGAGAGGAUGAUCAGCCACACUGGAACUGAGAAACGGUCCAGACUCCUACGGGAGGCAGCAGUGGGGAAUAUUGCACAAUGGGCGCAAGCCUGAUACAGCCAUGCCGCGUGUAUGAAGAAGGCCUUCGGGUUGUAAAGUACUUUCAGCGGGGAGGCGUUACCGGCAGAAGAAGCACCGGCUAACUCCGUGCCAGCAGCCGCGGUAAUAC